rnacentral:rRNA from 1 species
AACAGGAUUAGAUACCCUGGUAGUCCACGCUGUAAGCGAUGUCGACUUGGAGGUUGUGCCCUUGAGGCGUGGCUUCCGGAGCUAACGCGUUAAGUCGACCGCCUGGGGAGUACGGCCGCAAGGUUAAAACUCAAAUGAAUUGACGGGGGCCCGCACAAGCGGUGGAGCAUGUGGUUUAAUUCGAUGCAACGCGAAGAACCUUACCUACUCUUGACAUCCAGAGAAUUUGCUAGAGAUAGCUUAGUGCCUUCGGGAACUCUGAGACAGGUGCUGCAUGGCUGUCGUCAGCUCGUGUUGUGAAAUGUUGGGUUAAGUCCCGCAACGAGCGCAACCCUUAUCCUUUGUUGCCAGCACGUAAUGGUGGGAACUCAAAGGAGACUGCCGGUGAUAAACCGGAGGAAGGUGGGGAUGACGUCAAGUCAUCAUGGCCCUUACGAGUAGGGCUACACACGUGCUACAAUGGCAUAUACAAAGAGAAGCGAACUCGCGAGAGCAAGCGGACCUCAUAAAGUAUGUCGUAGUCCGGAUUGGAGUCUGCAACUCGACUCCAUGAAGUCGGAAUCGCUAGUAAUCGUAGAUCAGAAUGCUACGGUGAAUACGUUCCCGGGCCUUGUACACACCGCCCGACACACCAUGGGAGUGGGUUGCAAAAGAAGUAGGUAGCUUAACCUUCGGGAGGGCGCUUACCACUUUGUGAUUCAUGACUGGGGUGAAGUCGUAACAAGGUAACC